GAUGAACGCUAGCGGCAGGCUUAAUACAUGCAAGUCGAACGGUAAGGUCUCUUCGGAGAUACACGAGUGGCGCACGGGUGCGUAACGCGUAUGCAACCUACCUUUAACUGGGAAAUAGCCCCGAGAAAUCGGGAUUAAUGUCCCAUAUUAUUUUCUGAAUGCAUAUUUGGAAAAUGAAAGCUACGGCGGUUAAAGAUGGGCAUGCGUGACAUUAGCUAGUUGGUGAGGUAACGGCCCACCAAGGCGACGAUGUCUAGGGGUCCUGAGAGGGUUAACCCCCACACUGGUACUGAGACACGGACCAGACUCCUACGGGAGGCAGCAGUAAGGAAUAUUGGGCAAUGGACGCAAGUCUGACCCAGCCAUGCCGCGUGAAGGAUGAAUGUCCUAUGGAUUGUAAACUUCUUUUGUGCAAGAAAAACCCCUCGGUUUCGUACCGGGGCUGAUUGUAUUGCACGAAUAAGCAUCGGCUAACUCCGUGCCAGCCGCCGCUGUAAAAC
rnacentral:rRNA from 1 species